AGUAACGCGUGAGGAACCUGCCUCAAAGAGGGGGACAACAGUUGGAAACGACUGCUAAUACCGCAUAAGCCCACGGCUCGGCAUCGAGCAGAGGGAAAAGGAGUGAUCCGCUCUGAGAUGGCCUCGCGUCCGAUUAGCUAGUUGGUGAGGUAACGGCCCACCAAGGCAACGAUCGGUAGCCGGACUGAGAGGUUGAACGGCCACAUUGGGACUGAGACACGGCCCAG
rnacentral:rRNA from 1 species